UACAAACUUUAGGGGUGUCCCUGCAUGGGGCUGAGAUAAUACCCUUCGAACCUGAAGCGGGUAGUACCGACGGAGGAAAAAGUUACCUUUUCUUG
rnacentral:ncRNA from 2 species